GACGAACGCUGGCGGCGUGCCUAAUACAUGCAAGUCGAACGCAGUGGGGACGGGUGAGUAACACGUGGGUAACCUCCCAUCAGAGGGGAUAACACUUGGAAACAGGUGCUAAACCGAUAUUGAUGGAUGUAACCGGGGUGCAUUAGCUAGUAGGUGGGGUAACGGCUCACCAAGGCCACGAUGCAUAGCCUGCCUGAGAGGGUGAUCGGCCACACUGGAACUGAGACACGGCCCAGACUCCUACGGGAGGCAGCAGUGGGGAAUCUUCGGCAAUGGGCGAAAGUCUGACCGAGCAACGCCGCGUGAGUGAAGAAGGUUUUCGGAUCGUAAAGCUCUGUUGUUAGGGAGGCGUUAUCUAACCAGAAAGCCACGGCUAACUACGUGCCAGCAGCCGCGGUAAUUC
rnacentral:rRNA from 1 species